UAAUGGAAAAAAAUUUAGAAAAAGAUAAAAGAUGUAUAUAAGUAAAUAUGAAGUCAAGAAAAAAAAAUGAAAUAUAGCAGAUUACAGCAGCAUGAUGAAUCCAAAUAAAGAGCAAGGACAAAUACAAAAGACCGGAAGAGAAUGUAAGAGAAUCGCCAGUCACGGCUUAAAAGAUGUUGUGCCAAAUGGUGAUUUAUAGAGUCAAGUCUCCAUUACCAGAAGAACAAAGGACGACACAAUACAUUUCAAUGGCCAGAAAAAAGUUUUCAUUAAAGAUUAUAUAAUCAUUUUCUAAACUUCCAACCAUUUCAGACAGACUUGAUACAUUUGGGUAUUCACCGAGCGGUUUCUCAUCUCUAAUUGCACUUUGUUUCACCUUGUAGCAGCAGAGGGCACACUAUGAAUACAGCAUUGAGAAAGUAGUAAGCGGUUUCUCAUCUCUAAUUGCACUUUAUUUUACCGUGUAGCAGCAGAGGGCGCAUUAUGAACACAGCAUUGAGAAACUAGUGGCUAGUGCUGGAUGCAUACAGGAACGCACAUGAUAAAUUUGAUAAGGAAAGACGAUAAUAACGCAUGAUUUUUUUGGAGCAUACCU
rnacentral:lncRNA from 1 species